UACAGAGGUCCCAAGCGUUGUUCGGAUUCACUGGGCGUAAAGGGUGCGUAGGCGGUCGGGGUAAGUCUGAUGUGAAAUCUCACAGCUUAACUGUGAAACUGCAUUGGAUACUAUCCGGCUCGAGGAAUGGAGGGGAGACUGGAAUACUUGGUGUAGCAGUGAAAUGCGUAGAUAUCAAGUGGAACACCAGUGGCGAAGGCGAGUCUCUGGACAUUUCCUGACGCUGAGGCACGAAAGCCAGGGGAGCAAACGGG
rnacentral:rRNA from 1 species